AUGCUCACCCCGCAAGAGUUCAUCUUGGUAACCACAACUUUAUGGGCACUUUGGUUUGCACGAAGACAGGCACUACAUGAAAACAUAUUCGAGAGCCCGCUGUCUACAUACCAGUUCAUCCUGAAGUUCAUCGGGGAGAUUGAGGAAUGCAAAUCGAAGAAAGCAACGACUGGGUUACCAAGGGCAGCUCCUGCGCAGUUACGAUGGAUCCCUCCCCCGGAAGGAACUGAAAAAAUCCGAGUCGACAGAGUCGUUUCUAGAGAUGGCAAUUUUGGCUCAUUCAGUGCAAUUUGCAAAAACUCAUUAGGAGCUUUUUUGGGUGCUUCGGUGAUCAAGAUCCAUGGAGUUAUGGAUCCGGCGACGCUUGAAGCGCUGGCAUGUCGAGAGGCGCUUGCACUUGCAGCGGAUUUGGACCUUGCUCGGAUUCUGGUCACUAGUGACAGCCAAAGGGUAGUGAAAAAUAUCAAGGACCGAACUGGGGGUGCCUACUCCAGUAUCACGAAGGAGAUUGUGGAAACAUCAAUUAGAUUUGAUAGUUGCACCUUCAUCUUUGAAGGUAGAGCCACUAAUAUUGAGGCACAUAGCCUCACUAAGCAUGCUUUCAGUUUGGAUUAUGGGCGUCAUGUGUGGCUGUUAAACCCUCCAAACAUUUCUUGUAUCCCUAUGAAUUUGUUUGAUUAA
rnacentral:rRNA from 1 species